AACGAACGCUGGCGGCAUGCCUAACACAUGCCAGUCGAACGAGACCUUCGGGUCUAGUGGCGCACGGGUGCGUAACGCGUGGGAACCUGCCCUUAGGUUCGGAAUAACUCCCCGAAAGGGGUGCUAAUACCGGAUAAUGUCUUCGGACCAAAGAUUUAUCGCCUUUGGAUGGGCCCGCGUUGGAUUAGCUAGUUGGUAGGGUAAAAGCCUACCAAGGCGACGAUCCAUAGCUGGUCUGAGAGGAUGAUCAGCCACACUGGGACUGAGACACGGCCCAGACUCCUACGGGAGGCAGCAGUGGGGAAUAUUGGACAAUGGGCGAAAGCCUGAUCCAGCCAUGCCGCGUGAGUGAUGAAGGCCUUAGGGUUGUAAAGCUCUUUUACCCGGGAUGAUAAUGACAGUACCGGGAGAAUAAGCUCCGGCUAACUCCGUG
rnacentral:rRNA from 1 species